AUGGACAACCUCCUCGGCCUCGGCUUCCCGGGGGCCGGCGGCUACGACGCCACGGCCGGAUCCGGCGACGACGAGGACGAGGAGGCCAUGAAGAGCCUCUACGCCGGCGCGGCCGCCGCCCCCGCCCCCGCGGAGGAGGAGGAGGUCGACGAGGGGUACGCCGUCGCGGCGAUGAAGGCGGGGGAGGAGAGGGGGAUCGGGAAGGAGGGGCUGCGGAAGAGGCUGGUGAGGGAGGGGGAGGGGCCGCAGCUCCCCGGCGCCGGCGACGAGGUCGAAGUGCACUACACCGGGACGCUGGCGGACGGCACCAAGUUCGACUCCAGCCGGGACCGCGACGCCCCGUUCAGGUUCACCCUCGGCCGAGGCCAAGUUAUAAAGGGAUGGGAUUUGGGCAUCAAAACGAUGAAGAGGGGCGAGAAUGCUAUUUUCACCAUCCCACCAGAGCUUGCAUAUGGUGAGGAUGGCUCCCCUCCAGUCAUCCCUCCAAAUGCAACGCUGCAGUUUGAUGUUGAGCUUCUCUCAUGGGCAAGUGUCAAGGACAUUUGCAAAGAUGGCAGCAUCUUUAAGAAGAUACUAGCUGAAGGCGAGAAGUGGGAGAAUCCCAAAGACUGUGAUGAAGUUUUUGUUAAAUAUGAGGCAAGGCUUGAGGAUGGGACUCUUAUUACAAAAUCUGAUGGUAUUGAGUUCACUGUCAAAGAAGGGCAUUUCUGCCCUGCUAUAUCGAAGGCUGUCAAGACAAUGAAGAAGAAUGAGAAGGCCCUCCUUACUGUCAAACCACAAUAUGGCUUUGGUGAGCAAGGCAGGCCGGCCUCUAGAGGCGAAGCUGCAGUCCCCCCUAAUGCUAUGUUGCAAAUUGAUCUUCAGUUGGUGUCCUGGAAGACAGUCACUGAAAUAGGCAAUGACAAGACGAUCUUGAAGAAGAUCCUCCAGGAGGGUGAAGGCUAUGAUCGUCCCAAAGACUGUUCAACUGUCAAAGUGAAACUUAUUGGGAAGUUGGAUGAUGGCACCAUGUUUGUAAAGAAAGGUCAUGAUGGUGAAGAGCCAUUCGAGUUCAAGACUGAUGAGGAUCAGGUGAUUGAAGGGCUUGACAAAGCAGUGCUUAGCAUGAAGAAAGGAGAAGUUGCCUUUGUGACUAUUCCCCCAGAGCAUGCAUUUGGAUCAGAUGAAACAAAGCAAGAUCUAGCUGUUGUUCCUCCUAACACAACUGUUUAUUAUGACGUUGAACUCGUUUCUUUUGAUAAGGAGAAGGAAUCAUGGGAGUUAAAGGAUAAUGCUGAGAAGAUUGAAGCGGCUGCUAAGAAAAAAGAUGAAGGGAACGUGUGGUUUAAGAUGGGCAAGUAUGCCAGGGCUUCUAAGAGAUAUGGGAAGGCUUUGGAUUUCAUAGAGUACGAAAGCUCCUUCAAUGAAGAAGAAAAACAGUUGUCCAAACCACUCAAGGUGAGCUGCAAGCUCAACAAGGCAGCGUGCAAACUGAAACUUAAAGACUACAAGGAAGCGAAGAAUCUGUGUACCGAGGUCCUGGAAAUUGACAGCACAAACGUGAAGGCCUUGUACAGAAGGGCGCAGGCACACAUGCAUCUUGUUGAUUUUGAUUUGGCAGAGGUGGAUAUCAAGAGAGCACUGGAAAUAGAUCCAGAGAACAGGGAUGUAAAGAUGGGUUAUCGGAGGUUAAAGGAGAAGGUGAAGGAGUACGAGAGAAGGGAUGCCAAAUUCUACGGCAACAUGAUCAACAAGCUGAGCAAGCUGGAAGACGAUGAGGGCUGCGGGAGUAGCCAGGGGCCAAGCAAGAAGCCGCGCAGCCUGUGGCCUCUAGCGCCUUUCUUCACGACCGAUGGCAGCAAGCUCUGGCUCGUUCUAAGGCUACUGAUCCCCGUGAUGAUCUUGGUCGCGCUUUGUGUUGCUUACUAUGUGCAGAGCGGAGUUCAUGAAAUCGACUGCGUCAACUGCUGA
rnacentral:rRNA from 1 species